UACGUAGGGAGCAAGCGUUGUCCGGAAUCAUUGGGCGUAAAGCGCGCGUAGGCGGCCCUGUAAGUCCGUUGUGAAAGUCAAAGGCUCAACCUUUGAAAGCCGAUGGAUGCUGCAGGGCUAGAGUCCGGAAGAGGCGAGUGGAAUUCCUGGUGUAGCGGUGGAAUGCGCAGAUAUCAGGAGGAACACCAAUAGCGAAGGCAGCUCGCUGGGACGGUACUGACGCUAAGGCGCGAAAGCGUGGGGAGCGAACAGG
rnacentral:rRNA from 1 species